GGUCAGUCCAGAAAACAACACAUCAGAGAGAAGUGACGUGUCGCCCAGAUCAGAACUGUUAAUACUUCUGUAUCAUGGCAGAAUAUAAUAACAAAGGUUGGAAUAAACGUUUCGCAAAACCAACCAGUUUUGGGGAACUGGAAGUUUCUGCGCCCAUUCCACCAGAGAGGAGGGAGUAUAUAGAAAAUCUGAAACGGAAGGCCCAGAGGGAUAGACAAGAAGAGGCCUGCAGAUAUCCCUGCAAGAGAGGGCCAAGAGUUCUCAGCGAACGACUAAAGGAACACCAGAUUGCCUAUUAUUAUGGCUAUACUUUUUAUUAAUUUUUGCCUAUUAUUAUGGCUAUACUUUUUAUUAAUUUUUGCCUAAUCUUAU